AUUUUAGAUUUUUAUUAAGGGUUGGUAAGGAAUGAUAGGGUCACAAUAUUAGUUUUUGGAUUGAUAAAAUACUAGUGAAGAGUCCCGCGCUUUCUAGCGGGUAGAAACUGUAGUAGUAAUUAAUAAUAAUAAAAUAUUAAAUAUUUUUUUUUGUAUCUCACUUGGUACAUCUACCAACGAUGAAGAGAGAGAGUAAAAUAGCUCAUUCUAAAUAAAAAUUAAAUAGGAGAAGAGACGUAUGUUGAGAGAGAGAGAAUAAAAUGGGGGAGAUGAGAAGACGUAUGUUUGGAGAGAGAGAGAGAGUAAAAUGGCUCAUUCUAAAUAAAAAUUGAAUGGAGGAGAUGAAGAGACGUAUGUUGAGAGAAAGAGUAAAAUGGUUUAUUCUAAAUAAAAAUUAAAUGGGGGAGAUAAAGAGACGUAUGUUGAGAGAGAAUAAAAUGGCUCAUUCUAAAUUAAAAAAAAUUUCAAAAUUAGGAGGUUAUGACACAUCAGCUUAAAACAUUGAGGAUUCAUAAAGAGUAAUAGAUAAUAGAUAAGAGUGGAUUUUUUAUUUUGCAUUUCCUCUCAAUUUUUUUUUUAUAAAUAGUCUUAAUAAAUUUUAUAUUUGUAUAAAUAGUUUUUUUUUUUUCCCACCUGAGUCUCUAGAUGGUAUUUUUAAGUUGAACAUAAUAAUUCAAUCAUUUUAUUUACACAUGAUACUAAAAUGUGGAUUUGAACAUGGUGAUUCAAUCCGCCAUAUUCAACUUAAAAAUACUAACAUAGCACUCGCGUAUAGGGAUGUCAAUGGGUACGAAUACCCGAAAUUUUAUCCAAAUCCGAACCCGAAUGAAACGGAUAUAUCUGAUGCUAAAUGGAUAUAGAUUCGGAUAUGGAUAUCAAAAAUAAAAACCCGACAGAUAUGGAUUCGGAUAUAGAUUUUGACUAUACCCGACCCGACCUGAACUCGAACCCGGCUCGAACCCGAAUUUAUUUUGUAUUAUAUAUAAUAUAUAUAUAAAAAUUUGAUGUUAUAUUUGAAUUUGUAUUUUAAAAAUUUAGAUUUAAUAUAAUGUAUUUUGAAAUAUUGAAAAAAGAAAUAAUUAUUCCGGGUUCAAAUUUUCGGUUCGGGUUUCCGAUUUUUGGUCGGAUUCGGGUUUGGAUAUGGAUUUUUAAAAUCCGUCGGAUUCGGGUUCGGGUUCGGGUCUCGGGUUUGGAGUCGGGUUCGGGUUCGGGUUUUUAAAAAUUUGCCCCGUAUCUGACCCGUUGACAUCUCUACUCGUGUAGCAAAACGAGGAUCAUAUAUACAAAUAUAAAUUUAUAAGAAUAAUUUGUAAAAAAGAGUUUUGAGUCAGCUAAAUGCAAAAAAAAAGUCCUAUAAAAUUUAGAGACUUUUGCUUAUUUAUUUCUAUUUAUUAUUAAAAAAAUUAAAAUUUAUCUUCAAAUUACCAGAAUACGUAAAAAAACAUCAAUUUGACCACUUUAGCUUUAGCAGACCAGUAUUAAAAUAUUGAGAAAUGCUUCAAUACACUGGGUAAAUUAAAUCUAGCCGUUCAUAUUUUAAAGGCAAGAUUGACUUUUGCAUAAUGGUUACAGGUUACCAUUCGUAAAGAUAAUAUGGGAAAACAAAUACAAGCUAAUUACCAUAUUUGAUCAACCCUACACAAAUAUUUAUUUCCUUAUUUAAUUUUGUUACUUACCAAAUUAGAUAGUGCUAAUUUGAUAAGUAAUAAACCUUUAUAAAAUUGAAUUUAAAA
rnacentral:lncRNA from 1 species